UACGUAGGGGGCAAGCGUUGUCCGGAAUUAUUGGGCGUAAAGGGUGCGUAGGUGGCGCGCUAAGUCAGGUGUGAAAUCUCGGAGCUUAACUCCGAAACUGCAUUUGAUACUGGCGUGCUUGAGGACUGGAGAGGAGACUGGAAUUCACGGUGUAGCAGUGAAAUGCGUAGAUAUCGUGAGGAAGACCAGUGGCGAAGGCGGGUCUCUGGACAGUUCCUGACACUGAGGCACGAAGGCCAGGGGAGCAAACGGG
rnacentral:rRNA from 1 species